GACGAACGCUGGCGGCGUGCUUAACACAUGCAAGUCGAGCGAUGAGAUCACUUCGGUGAAGCAUUACCGGCGAACGGGUGAGGAACACGUGAAGAAUCUGCCUUCAACUCUGGGAUAACUCCGGGAAACCGGGGCUAAUACCGGAUAUGAGCCUUGAUCGCAUGAUCGUGGGCUGGAAAGUUUUUCGGUUGAAGAUGACUUCGCGGCCUAUCAGCUUGUUGGUGAGGUAAUGGCUCACCAAGGCGACGACGGGUAGCCGGCCUGAGAGGGCGACCGGCCACACUGGGACUGAGACACGGCCCAGACUCCUACGGGAGGCAGCAGUGGGGAAUAUUGGGCAAUGGAGGAAACUCUGACCCAGCGACGCCGCGUGCGGGAUGUAGGCCAGAAGCUUCGGGUUGUAAACCGCUUUCAGCAGGGAAUAAGCGCAAGUGAAGGUACCUGCAGA
rnacentral:rRNA from 1 species